GUAUCUGCCCAUCUUAGAUUCUUCCUAGCAAUAAUUCUGAGAGACUCUGGAUUGUGGGCCGAAUGGAGAAUGAAGCCUUUUCAAAUUCACCUCCCAGGACCUCCCGGACAUAUUGUCUACCCUAAGCACCAGGCUGGACACACUGGGAAACAGGCUGACCACCUGGGCUCCCAGGCCUUCUACCCAGGACGUCAGCAUGACUACCUAGUCCCACCUGCUGGCACAGCUGGCAUUCCUGUUCAAAAUCAGCCAGGUAGACCUGAAGGGGUACCAUGGAUGCCAGCACCACCACCACCAUUAAACUGUCCGCCAGGAUUGGAAUACUUAAGUCAGAUAGAUAUGAUACUAAUUCAUCAGCAAAUUGAACUUCUGGAAGUUCUAUUCAGUUUUGAAAGUAGUAACAUGUAUGAAAUCAAGAACAGCUUUGGGCAGAGGAUUUAUUUUGCAGCAGAAGAUACUAAUUUCUGUAUCCGAAAUUGCUGUGGGCGGUCUAGACCUUUUACCUUGAGGAUUACUGAUAAUGUGGGUCGAGAAGUCAUAACUCUGGAAAGACCACUAAGAUGUAACUGUUGUUGUUGCCCCUGCUGCCUUCAGGAGAUAGAAAUCCAAGCUCCUCCUGGUGUACCAGUAGGUUAUGUUACUCAGACCUGGCACCCAUGUCUAACAAAGUUUACAAUUAAAAAUCAGAAAAGAGAGGAUGUACUAAAAAUUAGUGGUCCAUGUAUCGUGUGCAGCUGUAUUGCGGGUGUUGAUUUUGAGAUUACAUCUCUUGAUGAACAAAUUGUGGUUGGCAGGAUUUCUAAGCACUGGUCUGGGUUUUUAAGAGAGGCAUUUACUGAUGCUGACAACUUUGGAAUCCAAUUCCCUAGAGACCUUGAUGUUAAAAUGAAAGCCGUGAUGAUUGGUGCCUGUUUCCUCAUUGACUACAUGUUUUUUGAAAGAACUAGGUAAUGACUGGAAUGUCAGAGUGUGGGAGUGGAUUAAUCACAAUGUGGGAGAUAAAAAAGAAGAGAGAGAGAAAAAAAAUCUUGAGAGAAUUUUAAGAAAAAGGAAUCAGGACUUGAUGAUUUAGAAGAUUUUCAUCUUAUCCAGAUUGCACAAGACACUAAAAUGAGCACAUUCAAUGUCAGGAAAUUGUGCUCUGGAGAGAAGGCAAAGGGAAUGGCUGGACAACCUUUUGCUAAUGCUUCUGAAGCAGCAACAUUUCAGAGUAUUCAAUCACACAAAGGACUCUUUGAAGAGUUUAGGUGUGUGAUUUUUGGUUCUAAGCAGAAACCAGGAAUGAAGUUGGCAUUAUCAAGGAAAUAUCAAUGGAGGAGCAAAUGACAGGGAAAGGAAGAAAUAAAAGAAAUUCACUAGAAUUGCAAAUGAAAACUGCCUAAUAACAUUACUCAGCUGAAAACACAUGCUUCCCCUUAAGAAAAAUGAAGAAUGAUUCUGAGGGCAGAGCUGCAGGACAAGAGGGCAGAAUCCUGAAGCCAGAAGGUGAAACUGACAGCCACAGAGGAUUAUUUCAAGUCCUCAAAACCUAGUAGAGCCUCACAUGCUGGAUUUCAAAAUUAUUUGGAUUAAUGAUUCCUUUUUUCAUUCUAUAUUCUCCCUCUUUGAACAGAAAUGCCUCUAACAGGGAAACUAUGCCUGUCCUACAUUGUGUUAUGAAAAGAGUAACAUGUUUUCUUGUUUUACAAAUCUAAGUUUGAAGAGAAAUUUUUACCCAUAAUGGAUCAUACCCACAGUCACAACCGAUGCAAGAUUUACAUGGUGAGAUUUUGGAUGUUUCAGCUGAUGAGGUUUAUUUGAGAUUUUGGACUUAAGUAGAUACUGUAAUGUGUUGAGAUUUUGGAGAUUUGAUAUGGGGUUUAUAUACUUUGCAUGUGAGAUAGCUAGUCCUUUAGGGGAACCAAGAAAGAAAUAUUGUAGACAGAACAAUGGUUCCCCAACAUACCUAUAUCAUAAUCCAGAAAGCCAGUAGAUAUAUUACCUAGAUGAAAAAAGGUAUUUUUCAAACAUAAUUGCAUUAAGGAUCUUUAGAUCUUUUAACACAAGUCAAAUUAUCCUGUGUUAUCUGAGUGGAUCAAAUGUAAUUACAAGCCUCCUAAUGAGAGAAUACAAGAUCAGAAGGUAAAACUAGAAAAGAGAAAGAAAAAUAUAAUUCCUACAGCCUCCAGCACAAAGGCAACCCUGAGGACCCAUUGCAAACUUCUGACCACCAGAAAUUGUAAAGCAGUACAUUUGUGUUGAUUUUUUUAAUUGAUACUUAAUAUUUUAUGUAUUUAGGUGCUACAUGUGAGUAUUUGUUAAAUGCAGAAAAUGGGUAAUGAUAAAGUCCAGGGUAUUUGGAAUUAUCCAUCACCCUGAAUAUUUAUCAUUUCUUCAUGUAGAAAAUAUUUCAAAUCCUCUCUUCUAACUACUUUGAAAUAUACAAUACAUGUUGCUAACUAAAGUCAGCCAGCUUUCCUUUUGAACAUUAGAACUUGUAAAAUGGAGUAGCCACUUUGGAAAACAUUUAGCAGUUUCUCAUAAAUUUAAACAUACAGUUGUUAACUGACCCAUCUAAAAUAAUAAUAAUAGUAACUUAAGUUUGUAUCAUCCUCUCUUCUGCUAGGAUUCUUUCUUUACUUCUCUUUACCUCAUCUCUUAUUUCAUAGUCAAUAUCUUUGGAAUGCAAACCUGCUAUUUAAAAUUUACUCUUGUUUUUGGCAGUAAACAUUUUUCAAAGUAUGUUUCUUCUUUGUCAUUAUUAAUAUUUGUCUCUUGUCUACAUGUUGUGGCCUCUUAGUUACAAGUUCAAAUUUUUUCUUGUAUCUAUUUGAGAGUAGUUCACACAAUAUUUGCCACAAAAUAAUGUAAGUUCUGCAAUAUUUUCAAUGUAUUUGUAGGCACUGUUAGAAUCCUCCUCUUAAAUUUUGAGCUGGAAACAGGGUUUGUAGAUGGAUUUAUUUUAUAAGUUUUAUUCUGAGCAACCUAAGGAAAACACAGAGAAUAACAAAAUCCUAAUUAGGGCCAAUUAGAAAAUUUGGCUCCAUAGAGAUGCAUUCUAAUUUUGUUAGAAUCAUGGUGCUGGAGACAGAGAUCUACUCAAACCUCAUUUUAAGAUGAUUUAUCUUGUCUUUACUUGGGACAAAAUGUUGCCAUGUUUACCAAUGCUCAUUCUUCAAGAUUGGUGUAGGUAAAAUCCAGCCAUUUCAAAUGAUUCUGAAACAUAAAGAUUUAAUUGUGUUUAAAUAGAUUAAAGUCACAUGGGAAUAUCAAUUUGCACUCAGUUUAUCAUGACUGUAUUAACUAGUACUUGUACUCCUAAAAUUCCUUUUUGGUAUUUGAUAAGAGACAGACUUCAUAUAUAAAACCACAUAUAUUAAAAACAAUUUACAAAAUAAAAGAUGAAUCAUGUUUACACCAUUAAAUGUAGAAAAGCUAAAACUGUAGUUGUAUAUUCCUGUCUCUAACCAAGCUAAUAUGUUUUGAUAAUGUUAGAUGUUAAACAUAAAAGGCUAAAUAUUUUCAAUUUGUCAUACUCUAAAGCACUUACAUAAUCCAGUUUAUGGCUAUUUAUGACCUACGACCCUGGUUGUCUACACCAGAGACAAUAACCAGCUGUCCACUUGGAUUAGAGUAUUUGCAUCAGAUAAAUCAGUUAACAGUGUGUCAACAUUUUGAUCCUCUGGGAGGUAUUUCAGAGAAGCAAUAAUUCCAGAUUCUUCAGAAAUUUUGUUAAUAGAAGCAGAAUGCAGUCCUCAGAAAAUUUGAAACUAGUAAAACGUAUGAAAUCUUGAACAAUCAAGGACAGAGAAUUUAUUUUGCAGAAGAGAGAAAUAAUUGCUUCCUUCGACACCUUUGUGGAUUUUCAAGCCCUUUUACUAUGACAAUUUAUGAUAAUGUAGGUAGAGAUGUACUUGCUCUGCAUAAGGCUCUGAAAUGUAGCUUACAAAAGUUAUUGACUCUGGAUGAGGAAAUGGUUAUUGGAAAGAUUUCAAAACAGUACUCUGGAUUUGUAAGGGGAAUAUUAACCAAUGGUGAGAAAUUUGGGAUCCAGUUUCCAUUUGAUCUUGAUGUUAAAAUUAAAGCAUUGAUGCUUGGAGCAACUUUCCUCAUUGAAUACAUGUAUUUUGAACUGUGGCCAUAAGAAUUACCCUGAAAGAAUAUGUCAGAGAUUACUGGCAUUUAUUUUUGCCAGCCCUCAACAAAACUAAGCAACUUUCACUGAAAAUAUCUAAAUAAAGUUUUAUUUUACUAAAA